GUCACAAAGGCAUAACCAGCCAUCUCGCUCCAUCCCUGACUGUGACCGCCCGCUGAGUAAGAAGCUAGGCAUGAAACAUCGCAGGGUAGAGCCAACAAAACAUAAUGGAGCUUGAUAAGAAUCUGUGUGCAUCGGUUCAGAUGGGGACUCAUCUUGGCUGAAUCUCAUCAAGGCAACCUUGCUGAAACUUGGGCAAUUCAAAGAGUCAUGGAUCAGAGAAGUGAGGAGAUAUAGUCUCCUGUGUUCUACCCGAGGCAUCUGCAGGGCAGCAGUGAUAAACUACAGCAAACCACAUCAAAGACUGUCAGUCGAGUCGCAUGAAAAAGAUGAAAUUAUGACGGCCUUGCUUCCGUGAAGUACUCCCAAACGCAAGGUGUGCGUGCUGCAAAGUGCCUCCUCUGUAUGCAGACCGAUGCAGAUGUCCCCUCCAUUGGCAGGGGUGGGGCUCGUGCAUGUGCGUGUUCGUUGGUAGUGCCCGCCU